CUUUCUGCUGCAGGCGUCGUGGGCACUUCCUUUCAAGAGAGGUCAUACGACUGUACGACUCAUGGUGCCAUACUCUCGUUUCAACGUCGUGGAGAUAAAGAACUGCGUGAAGAUGGGGCCAGUGAUAGUUCUGGUUGUAGCCGCCUAUUUGGCCACGUCUUGUGCUGCAACGCGCUACGGGGCCGAUAAACUAAAAACAUGGCUUUAAUGUGUAUUUGGAUUGCGGCUGCCUGCAUGGCUCUAUCUGCCGCUGCUGAGCCGAAGUCAGCAGAUCCUGCGUGCGACUUGAAGGAUGCAAAUGUGAGAGUUGCCAUUGCGAGGCUCCUCACAAAGUUUCCCGAAGACGAUUUGGUCGGUUCCGGAAACUUUUACUCUGUCUUUGCUGGCCUCGAAGUAGGCAGUGUCACCGUGAGUGGACUCAACAAACUGCAGCAGUUUGGUCCUUCGUUCCCCUAAUGCGUCAAUGGCACCCGCAGGGUUCAAGUAGACUUCAUCGACACAGGCAACGUCGUGAUGAAGAUGCCGUGGAGACACUGUUCCGGAGGUGAAGGCGUCUUUAUAUUUCGCUCAUUUCGAUCACGUUUCACGAUCCAGUUCGACAUCGAGGUCGAUGACCAUGGGCAGGACGCCAGACUGUCAUACAGGGGAUCUAGAAGCCCUGUGACAACUGACACUGUGCGACUAAGUGUUUAUGGUGCUGGUGCAACCAUGAAGACACUGGCCGAACGCCUUGCAAUGCUCUUUCCCACAGUGAUCCUGGAGGGUUGGAAAGUUCCAUUCUUUUACUCCGUGAGCAAAGCGUUCACUAUAUUAGGUACGGGGCUACGUCUACACCUAACCAACGAGACAGUAGCAACCUGACCACGAACAGUGCGUCUACGCCACGGAAAUGACCACAAUAAAGGCAGUACGAAUACAUAUGCUAUAUA